CAGCUACAGUGUACUCACAUACAUAAAAUAAAUCUUUUUUUAAAAAAAGAUUGGUAAAAGAAAAUAAAGCAGCCAGGCGUUGGUGGCACACACCUUUAAUCCCAGCACUUGGGAGGCAGAGGCACGCUGAUUUCUGAGUUCAAGGCCAGCCUGAUCUACAGAGUGAGUUCCAGGACAGCCAGGGCUACACAGAGAAACCCUGUCUUGAAAAAAAUGGGGAGGAAAGGGUUUAUUCAGUUUACAUUUCCACGUUGCUGUUCAUCACCAAAUGAAGUUAGGACUGGAACUCAAGCAGGUCAGGAAGCAGGAGCUGAUGCAGAGGCCAUGGAGGGAUGUUACUUACUGGCUUACUUCCCCUGGCUUGCUCAGCCUGCUCUCUUAGAGAACCCAAGACUACCAGCCUAGAGAUGGCAUCACCCACAAGGGGCCCUCCCACCCUUGAUCCUUACAGCUGGAUCCCAUGGAGGCAUUUCCUCAAGGAAGGCUCCUUUCUCUGUGAUAACUUGAGCCUGUGUCAACUUGACACCCAAAACCAACCAGUACACUGGGUGUUCUUUGAUUCCUCUACCUCUUUCAAACAGCUCAACUUCUGUCUCAUUUAAAUGACUUGUCUAGUCUGAGACUGUCUCUCAGCAGGCCUAGCAGCUUGGGAGUGGGGGCUAGAGCUAGUGGAGCUGGUGAGUAUCAGGGACUUCCCAGAUCCUUUGAAUUGUCUUCUGCCUGAAGCUUCUCUUCAGGAUGGAAUGAUUCACAUGCCCACCUCUGAAAAUCCAAUUGGUUUAUCUCCUUUAACAUCCUGUGUCUUAAGGAGCUCUCCUACAAGACAGUUUAAUCUCAGAGGAAUUGCUACAAACAAUAUCCAGAGCAAAUGAAGUCAGUAUGCUUAUCAGCACUUAUUGGAGCACUAUGUGAAAUAGCCAGUGGAUUUAGAAACAAAUGUAGCCUAACAAGUCAUGAGUGAACAAAGACUACACUAUUCAGCACUUUGUGAGAAGAUAAUCCUUUCAUUUGAGACAGCAUGGAUGGAGCUGGAGGACGUUAUUGCUGAAACGGGAAGAAAGAAACAGUUAAAGGAAGGUGGAUAAUGUAUGUCUACACUUACAUGUAGACUUUAAUAAAGCUCAACUCACACAUGAUGUGCAAUAAUGGCUACAAGUCUGAGGUUAUAAAUAUUUGGUUAGAUAGGAGAAAUAAGCUGAAGGGAUCAAUUGUUCUGGUAACUAUAGCUGAUAACAAUAUAUCAUACGCUUGAAAGUGCUAAAAGAAUGAAUUGUAAGCCUAGUUUGAAUUGGAAAAAGACGAGUUUUUGAAAUUUAACUCAAUUUAACUAUUCUACAGUUGUAUAUACCUCAAGGUAAAAUGCUGUAUAUGAUAAGUAGACUUUUUUAUCAGUGAAAUAAAACGGAGCCAUGUGUGUUCAUAUACACUGCAUUCCCAGUACUUGUAAGGCAAGAGGACCAUAAGGAACAUAAGUUUGAAGACAGCCCAAGUUACAUAGGUAGGUACUGUCUUAAAGAAAGGAAGACAGACAGACAGACAGACAGACAGACAGACAGGGAGGAAAAGGAAAAAGGAAAAAGGAGAAAGGAAAGGAAAGGAAAGGAAAGGAAAGG
rnacentral:lncRNA from 1 species